rnacentral:lncRNA from 1 species
CAAAAGCUCUCCCUCUCUUCUCCCUCAAACCGAAGAUUACUCUCAAAUAUCUCUUUCCACCAAUUUUCAUCCUUCAAAUCACCUAUUUAGGAACCAACUUCCUCUCCUCUUUCUUUCUCAUUUGGGCGAUUUGAGCCUGCCCUAGAUUCUACCCCUCUUCUCCAAAUCGGUGAUUUACCUCUCCAAAAUUCUUACUUUUUCUUCUAAAAUCCUUUCCUCUCUACCUCUCAUUUAGUCUCCUAAGCUCCUUGCAAGUCUUUUUGAUCCAAAUGGCGCCCAAAAUGAAGCUACUGUAAAGAAAAAAAUCUAUUCGCG